rnacentral:snRNA from 1 species
AUGUUCACUUCAGCAGCACAUAUACUAAAAUUGGAAUGAUGCAGAGAAGAUUAGUAUGGCCUCU